rnacentral:rRNA from 1 species
CCGGGGCUUCUUCUCCGGCUACCGUCGUCAUCGUCACCGGUGAAAGCGCUUUACAACCCUAAGGCCUUCUUCACGCACGCGGCAUGGCUGGAUCAGGGUUGCCCCCAUUGUCCAAUAUUCCCCA